GGGGCAGUAAGCUCAGUGGUGGAGCAUCUGCCUUGCACAAAGAAGGUCUCUGGUUCAAUCCUAGGGAUCCCCU